AACGAACGCUGGCGGCAUGCCUAACACAUGCAAGUCGAACGAGACCUUCGGGUCUAGUGGCGCACGGGUGCGUAACGCGUGGGAACCUGCCCUUAGGUUCGGAAUAACUCCCCGAAAGGGGUGCUAAUACCGGAUAAUGUCUUCGGACCAAAGAUUUAUCGCCUUUGGAUGGGCCCGCGUUGGAUUAGCUAGUUGGUAGGGUAAAAGCCUACCAAGGCGACGAUCCAUAGCUGUCUGAGAGGAUGAUCAGCCACACUGGGACUGAGACACGGCCCAGACUCCUACGGGAGGCAGCAGUGGGGAAUAUUGGACAAUGGGCGAAAGCCUGAUCCAGCAAUGCCGCGUGAGUGAUGAAGGCCUUAGGGUUGUAAAGCUCUUUUACCCGAGAUGAUAAUGACAGUACCGGGAGAAUAAGCUCCGGCUAACUCCGUG
rnacentral:rRNA from 1 species